CAGGCUGACCAUCCCAGCGCUGCAGGACUGUGUGUGACUGCCCAGCUUAGCAAAGUGAACACCUAUCCCUGCAGAAGCAACUCGACUCAUGCAACUAAAGAAGCUGUUCCCCUUAAACAAGUCACCUCUCCUGUUGGAAAAAAGGAGCACAUCUCUUUCAACCCCGUCCAACUGGAUGGCGGCUGGGGGGGAGGCAAGAAGAGAGAAAGACUGCAAAAAGUAAGUGGGCCUCCUAAAAAAUGAAGACGGACAGGACCUGGAGCAACCCAAAUAUCUGGAGGCGUUUCCAGAGCUAUCAGUGCUUGGACUUGAAGGCAGCCAGCUCGCAUCAAAACACAUGGAGCGAAGCCACAAAGCUCUGGGAAAUUACUCGCUUCACUGUGGAAGGAAAUAGGAACCAGGAUCUUUAGUACCUGUAGGUUUCCUGCAUUUCCCAACACUGAACUGUUCUUAAUUUUUGUUUCCCGGAUGUUUUAUAAAUAUUGACUGCAAAACCUUUAGAGGAAAAAUAAAAUACUUUUUUCAUUCAUUUCUUGAGAAUAAAAUUUGAUAAAACUUUUUCUGGGUUUGAUUUGUAUUCCGGCCGACCAAAUGUGAAUUUGAAGCCUGGUGGAUCAAUAUUGUUGUUUGUUUUUGUUUUUUGUAUUUAUCUCAUGCUGCGUUGCUGUAGAGAGGCUCACCUCAGGGCGUUCGACUUCCUCGCCGCCCUGCUGCCUGAAAAAUCAUAAGUUAAUGAACUUCAAAACAAAUAGUGAGCUCUUAGGAGUGGCUCCCUAGCAGGAAAUGCGUGCCCGCCUGCUUAUUUUCCUUCAGUGUUCAGUGUUCAGUUACGCGUGUCUGCAGGGUGGGAUUCAACUGGAGGCUGGAGGGGAUUUUUAUCUCGCUUAGCGGCACACGCCGGAGAUGUGGUGGUUCUGUUUUGAAACAUAAGAGCUCUGUCUUUUAUCAGGGGGAGUAUGGGGGGAAUUUUGUUCCAUUAUUGUUGCAGGCAAAGAACAUGUCAUGUAAACAAAAAUUUAAAAACGAAAAUUUAACCCAGAAAU